AUAACAAAAAGAAUUUUUUUUAUUAAUUUUAAAUUCGUUAGACUUAAAACGAUACAUAUAUUAUAUAUUAUGUAUAUGUGCAUAAUUUAGAACAUGGCCUAAAUAACAAUAUCCCACUGAGAUAAUCUUUAAAACCCAUUCAACCAUUCUUUCUUCGUAAUGACUCAGUCAAAACAAGUACUUUGCUUCACAAAUUUGAUGCUUUUUUAACACCAAUGAUACGUUAGUUUAAACAUAAUUACAGAGAACCCACUAACCAGUUCCCGGUAAUACAGAUAGAAUUUCCUGACAAACAAAGUCAUCUCAUUUGUUUACUACUCAUAAUUAACGCAAUAAAAAUGUUUGCAGUAAUCUAAAGACGUUGUAGGGAAUACAAUCACCCGAUGGCAAUGUUGGACCGGUCAUAUUAACUCCCUUUCCUCCCACCCCUUCGCCUUUGAAUAGCCCAUUUGAAUGCAAUUACUGCAAUGAAGGCGUGGCAUUUGUAUGGAUUUUUUGCGUGCCUUUUAUUACUUUAUUAUGAAUACUUGCCACAGUAGCGCUCUGCUCGCACCCCUCGGCACGAAUGCUAUUUUUAUACCUAUAACGGCGCAUUGUUGUAUUAUCCUUUGCACCCACACUAUUCUUGUUGUUUUUGUUUGGUGGUCUUAUGAGUAUAUUUCGGUUGGUCGGUCUUGCGGUUGCUUAAUCCCCACAUAGUCAUAUAAAAUAUUUUUUGCGAUAAUAUGUAUAUAUAAAUGCAUAUGUACAUUCCUGUAUGAGCCGGUGUGUCAUGUAGUUUUUUGUCGUCGCUUCGCUAUGUUUGUGCCUUUCAUAAUCCACAUAAUGGCUGUCUACCUGUGGUGACUGCGAUGUCUUGUUGGCUUUUGACUCGUUUCACUUUUCACUUACCGUUAACAGGUAAAUAUACAGUUGCACAUAUAUAUAUAUAUAUGGGUAAGUGGCUGCAAUUAGGCUAACUCCAGUCGUCGUUUUAACGAGGAAAUGCUCUUUGCGGAAAGAGCAUGUUAACAAAUUUACCUUUUUUUAUAUUUUGCCUUCCGUAUGGCAACAAAAACAAUUUUCAUAUAGUAUAUAAUUAAUUUGGAGUGCAUGUAAACAACUUGCAACAAAAUUAAUUUAUGCAGUAGAAUUUCGAGGCGUAAUUUAAAUAGCUGACUAGUGUUCAAGUGCGCAACAACAACCAUAACGAAAGCUUGGUUUUAUUAUAUGUGGCAGAAAUGUUUCUGUUUUGGCAUAGAGUUGCAAGUUUAAUGCUCUUUUCUUGUAAAUAUUUUGUGGUAUAUUAUUUAAUUUACUUUAUUCUUAGCCAUCCAUAAUAGCACUAUGAUGAAACUAGUUUAUAUGAAUAUAGAGGCCCUUUCAAAGGGUUAGGUGGGUUUCAGAGGUUCAAAAUAAAAAUACCUUUUACGGUGGUACAACACGUGGAUGGGAAGAUAUUUUCUUGAAUCGAUUUUAAAUUUUUGGAGAAUAUUUCAAACAUUAAAAAAUCGAUUUUUUGAAAUUUUCAAACCUACUAUUAAUAAUAUAUAAUACUGGAAAACGCGAACGUAGCAUACUCCCCCACUUCAGAAUUUUGAUAUGGUUAGAACAGUAUUGAAGUGCCCCUAAUGAUUUUUAAUGUUAAUUUAUUAUAAAUCGUCGUUGUUGUUAUUGUUAAAGCGGUAACUAAACCCAGCGUCUGGGUAAAUAUUUAGGAAUUUGUUUUUCCAGUGCAGUCGAACUAUAGAAAAAUGAGUAUUAGAUUUCUUAGAUUUAGGUGGUGGAGAUGGUAUUAGAUUUAGGUGGUGGAGAUGGUACGCAUGCUAGAUAUACAUAUGUUCUAUAUAUCGAGUCUCACAUAUGAUCUGCCAUAUACGAGUAUCAGCUGUUGUUGGUAAAUUAUAUUUUUUUGUGGGAGGCGGAGCAAGUGUCUGCAAGGAUGGUUUUAAGGAAAGCCACGUUUGAAGAGCUAAAUGAAUGGAAAUGGAAAAAGACGGAGUUGGUGCGGGAAUAUACUGUCUGGAAGUAGACAUAAGGCACCUUUUUAAGCUCGCGGAUCACCACAGUAUACUUCAGGCAAAGUUUUUAGCUGUGGGAAAGCCUCUAAUGCAUCAGGAGGCAGCUCCAGAGUUAACAUCUUGGCAGCAGUGAAGAGUGUCACCAGGAACAAUUGAUUUCACUUCUACAAGUCACAAAGGUAUCGAAGGCAAUGAGAUGGUGGACGAGAUUGCCAAGAAGGUUUACGGUUGUCAUCCGAAAACGAUACCAACAUUGAUAAGCCCGUGCAUUGUCUUUACGAUUCGGACAGGAGCAUGGCAGGGAAAGUGUAAAAAGCGGUAGAUCAGAAAUACAGUUACAUAAAGUUCCUUUCACUUUUCACUUCUGAUAAAGGGGUUCACUUUUGAUAUAAGGAAAAUGAUUGGAAUACUCACUAGUCAUAGCCUGGUGGCGGCUCCUGCCUGCAGAAUGGGGCUCGACAGAUAAAGAUGACUACAGGAAAUGUUAAGAUCAAGACACCACGGAAAUAAUGGAGAAUAUCUUGUGCACUAUACAAGGCAAUGGUUCAAGCUUUAAGUAGUCUGAAACCACACUCCACUUUCACGACAUGGAAAGUUGGACCACGACCACUUUCCGAAUUAUUUUACAUCCCUAGCGUUGCUCCUACAGAAAAUGAAAUUAAUAUUUAAAGGCCCUAGUUUGAUCGCGCAAUAUCUAAACUAAAUAUCUAUGCUAAUUCGUUUUUGGUAUUUCAAAGAAUCAUUAAGAGACACCCACUUCCAGAACAUCUUAAGAGAGUAUUGAGGAAUAUUUAAAUUAGUCUAACGGUUUCAAUUUUUAUUUUCUCUAUGCUUAGCUAUCUGAACAGUCUUUUACCUAACUGAGAUGUCACCCUUUGCGUUAAAUACACGUCGCCCCCAACACCACUUUAUUGUGAUCCUAAACUUAUGCAACAUUAUCAACUCGCCGCAAGGUAUGCUUAAUAAUUGAGUUGCGCAGGUAUUAAAAAAAAAAAAAACAACAUAUAAUGUCAGUCGUCACAUAUAUGCACACGUAUAUCUACUAAUGAUUAUGGUAUGAUACCAUAAAUUAUUGAAUUAUUUGAUAUUAACAUACCUACUGCUCGAUUACACAUUAAGCUUUGCAUAUUCCGCCAGUUUAUGGUAUAUGUAUUACAGUUAUUCGGUGGAGUUUUACAGCCAUCAAUUAACAUUAAUAUUGAAAAUGAACCCCUAUUUUACGCAUCGUAAACGAAUAAUAAAAUUGGAUAUUUUGGCCUUGACUCCUUUGAACUUACACAAUAUUGUUCACUUAUUAUUCACGUUGAACUUUUAAAGGUUCAUAAACAUUUCUUCAAAUUCCAUAUUAGUUAAAACGUUAUGUAGAACAUAAUGGGUUAUGUUUUGUUAAAAAAUUUACAACAACACUUUGUAAGAUCAACCCAAUGAAUCAGUCAAAAUAUUUCAAGUUUUUGUGAAUCAGCACCAAUAAAAUUGAAAACUUGUUGCCGUUUGAUUCAUAUAUCAUUGAAAUUUUAACUAUGGUCGUCAUUAAAAGUGCCCACUUAAUAAAUAUGCUUAAUACUUUAAGUGGUAUUUCGAACCCAGCGCCACCUAUUAGAGAUAAUUACUUAUAGUUCGAAUAUUAUUUUUUAUAUGCUAAAUACUAAUUAAAUCGGAUAAUAAAAAUGUGAUAUUGACCGUUAACCACGUUUUAUGUUCUGAGAUAGCCGAUUGUGUAAUAUGUGUGAAAUUAUAUGGAUGAAAAGGCAUGGUCACAUUUUUGAUCUGUGUGCUCCACGAACUUAAGCUGAGAUUUUCUCGAAAUUUCGGAUAAAUCAGCUUUUGUUAAUCCUAUAUAUUCAUACAUAUAAUAUAUAGAAAUUGCUGAGGUCCAGAUCAAUAAAGUAAUUUUUUUCACCCAGUGUAACGAUUUAAAAUAUCCCUUUUAAGUGUAGAAUCAGUAGUUAGCUAACAAUGUGUCCAAAUACCUAUUAAAACCUAUACAAUUUGAUAUGAUUUGAUGUGAAUGAAGUAACAUUUGUAAUAGUUCUGAUAAUCUUACUUAUCAAUGAUUUUUGCUUCGAAGCACAUAACACAUUAUCUUUCCCGAGCGUAAAAGAAAAAAACAAGCGAUCUACGAGUAAAUUAUUUACACGAGAGAAAAUUCUAUGUCAAUAAUUAAAUCAAUAGUGUGAGAUUGAGAAAUGUCUUUUACAAAAAGAUUAGUUAAAAUUGUAGGUAUCGUAUUAAAAUUUUCGUCUAGUAAGAAAUUUUCUUUAUCUGAAACUUUUUCAUAUAUAUAUUAUUCUCGAAACAACAAAUAAUGAAAAUAAACGUUUGCAGCGAGGAGUAUAAGAUAAUAUAACGUCUGAUAUAAAUCAAAUUAUUUUUUCAAUAAAUGGCUUUAGUAAUCGCUAUCUGCAAUCGGAUUUCCCUAAAUGGCGUUAGAGACAUAAGGCAGUUAAGUGAUGGCUUGAUUCAUUAUUGUUUGAGCACGGUAAACCGGCGCAAGUGGCAUAAACCAAAUGGUGGUAUUGUAUUCGAAAAAAUGUCUCACAAAUAUUUCAAGCAAUUGAAAAAAUGUUUGAUUGAAGAGACUUUAAUGAAAAUUGUCUACACUUCCAAGUACUGAAACGCGUUCGCUAAUUAACUAAAUUGUCGCUUAACUCAACUUUUAAUUAUUUGCAGUAAACUAGAUCGUAAAUUACAACUAUGCUACUUUACGUAUAUUAUAGUAAAACAAUCAAAUAUACUCAGCUUACUUAAGCACUACCUUUCAGAUAAAUAUUUUACAAUAUCAAAUUUUUGUUUUAUUGAUUUUCCCAUGGUCUACUUUUAACCACCUUAUUUUUACUGCAGCCGUACGAAAGUGACAUCUUUCGAUAGCAGGCACGAAGAUACGUACACCAUUAAUAGGUUGGAAAAAAGUGCUUCCCGAAAAAUCUAACGCUUAUCGAACUUUAAACCAAACGAUAGAUAAUCAAUUAAUUGUACGCAGAGCUGCCGUCAUAUCAGGGGUUGUAAGUAAAGUGAUGCAUGUAUUGCUGAUAUGGGCUCACAUGAAAUUAAAAUAUGAUUAUACUCGUAAAUUUUGAAAAUCAUUAUCUGAUAUUUAAUAAAAGUUUCGGCACAAAUAAAUACUAAGAAACAAGCAUACCUGCAUACUGUAAUGUGACCACAGAAGAGUUGUGUAGCUAUCUUAUCUAGUCGAUUUGACUAGGAAAUUUUACCAAUCGCAUUUUAUUUAUUCGCAAAUAUGAAUAGGACAGCUAUCGGAAAUUAAUGACAGUUACUUUCGCGAGCUUCAGACAAAUGCAUUGCAAGUGUUAAAACUUCGCACAUAAUUUAAAAUCAUGACGAUGGGGCUUCUUAAAAUACUAAUUUGGCCAAUAUUUGGUUCAUUGCUCAGCACAACCCCUACUUGUGGUAUGCCCGUAUCAACAUUGCUGGAUGCUGAAGAGAUAGCGGGCAUGUUUGAAGGCGAUAUGAUCUUAACUGCAGAUCAAGAACGUCUGCUAAGAAGUCCGCUUCAAGGUCGAAAUGGUUUGGUUGACGAGACCAAGCGGUGGCCAAAUCGUAUAGUGUACUACAAAAUUGUCGGCGAUUUCGAUUUAAUUCAUCGCCAAGCCAUUUCAGAUGCUAUAGAGGUUUUGGAAGCGCGUACAUGCUUGAAAUUUCAUGAGGCCAGUGAAACCUCCAAGAAAUACGUGGCAAUUUCAUCCAACGCGGGUGGCUGCUACACCGCUGUUGGCUAUCUGGCCAAAGUGCAGACAAUGAACUUGGAAAAAUAUCCAAUUGGCGAGGGCUGCUUCAGACCGGGCACCAUAUUGCACGAGUUUAUGCACGCGCUUGGCUUUUAUCAUCAGCAAAGUGAUAGCGACCGCGAUAAGUACAUAGAAGUUAUCUACGACAAUAUUGUGCCGGGUAAAGAGCCUAACUUUGAAAAAUACGACGCGACGGUUGUGACCGAUUUCGAUGUGGGUUACGACUAUGAUAGCUGUCUACAUUAUAGACCCCGUGCAUUUUCGAAGAAUGGGAAAGAUACGAUAGUGCCGUUGGACGCGACGGCGGUUAUCGGUCAACGAGAACAUUUGAGUAAAAAGGAUAUAAACAAAAUUAAUACCAUGUACAAAUGCCCCAUAUUGACUUAAAAUUUGAGUUAAUAAUGAAGGGAUUAGUUAAUGUAAUUCGGCUUUCUUCUAACAAGGGAUCAAAGAUAAAUUAUAAGAGAAAAACGUACACAAGCAGGCGAUAAUGAAGCUCUACGUCGGAAUUUUGCUGCUGGCACUUACUAGAAGUACGCUAACUGCUCCACUAAACCAGCCUGACUUUGAUAAUGCUGAGCUUAUUGCUGGGUACUUCCAGGGCGAUAUUGUCUUGUCACCUUCGCAGCGCAAUGGAUACCGCAAUGAGAUGUUACGCUGGCCCAACAACACUGUCUACUACAAAAUCAAUGAUGGAUAUUUCGACGAGGCGCAUCGCAAUCAUAUUUUACGUGGUAUUAAAAUCAUAGAAGAGCUCUCGUGCAUUCGCUUUCAGGAAGCAACCGCAGAUCAAAAAUAUUAUGUGAAUAUCACCGGAGAAAAUGGCGGCUGUUAUUCGAGCAUUGGCUGGUUGAAUGGCGUUCAGUUUUACAAUCUUCAGCUUUUUCCUCUGGAUACAGGCUGCUUCCGACUCGGUACAAUUGUGCAUGAGUUCCUACACACGCUCGGAUUCUUUCACAUGCAGAGUGCCGCGAAUCG